UACAACCGUUGGCAUGAUUAGAAGGACUA
rnacentral:piRNA from 1 species